rnacentral:rRNA from 1 species
GUCCAGACUCCUACGGGAGGCAGCAGUGGGGAAUAUUGCACAAUGGGGGAAACCCUGAUGCAGCGACGCCGCGUGAGUGAAGAAGUAUUUCGGUAUGUAAAGCUCUAUCAGCAGGGAAGAAAAUGACGGUACCUGACUAAGAAGCCCCGGCUAACUACGUGCCAGCAGCCGCGGUAAUACGUAGGGGGCAAGCGUUAUCCGGAUUUACUGGGUGUAAAGGGAGCGUAGACGGCAGCGCAAGUCUGGAGUGAAAUCCCAUGGCUUAACCAUGGAACUGCUUUGGAAACUGUGCAGCUGGAGUGCAGGAGAGGUAAGCGGAAUUCCUAGUGUAGCGGUGAAAUGCGUAGAUAUCAGGAGGAACACCGGCGGCGAAGGCGGCCUGCUGGACCGUGACUGACGUUGAGGCUCGAGAGCGUGGGGAGCAAACAGGAUUAGAUACCCCUGUA